GGUUUUGGAGUGUUUUUGGCAAGGGUGGAGGUACACCCAAUUUUCCGGCGAGUGCGUGUUUUCCGAGGGAUUUUCUGGCCACCACAAGCCGUUACACGGUGAACCCAAGGUGCGAUUCUUAGCGGAGAUUUCGUUACUCCUGUUUGGUACAGCUUGCACCCUCGGUGUACGGACCUUGGAACGAGGAUUACGACCUAAGCUACGAGGCGUUCCCCUACCAGUGAUUUGUGUCAUAUUCACUCCGCUUCGCCACCUAUUGUAAUAGCACUUCUUUAUUCUGAGUUAUGCUUGUACUCUGUAUUAGAAUUAUGCUCUGGGCGUGCUGUGGGUUUACCUAAUUUCAAUAUUUAGAGGUUGAACUUUUAUUUGGGUUUUUA